CACGAAAGCAGCAACCUCGAAACAGCUGGUUUCUCGCGUCGCAGAGCACGAGUUAUUUUGAAUAGCUGCACGCAACGCGGUCACAAAGCGGGGGCGGAAACCCACAUUUUACCUCCGGAAACGUCCGCUGCCUCUUCCUCAUCUUCUCCUCAACCCCAAACUCGGCAGCUACUCAAUACACGAACGAAACUGGACCAUCGCUGCGGAGGUAGGGCCGGGGGGGACAAGGGGAAAGCUCCAGACAAACUCGCCGCAUGAGAGUUGCCGACCGGACCAAAACGCGAGAACGGGAUACCCGUUCCGAAGGAACAUAGAGGCGCCUUCGUUGCGUGUCAGAGGCACGCGCAAACGAAGCAGAAAGAGGAGGACCGAAAAUUAAAUGAAAAAAAAAAGAAAUGACAGAAAGGACAAUCAGUGAGCAGCAAGCACCCACUGGUUGGCCGGAGGAAUCCAGACCGACGGAACGAUUGCCGGCAGGCGGCGCGAGGAACGGCGUCAGCUUAACUUCACUGCAGACGUUCGGCCGCGGUGCGCACGCACCCAAGACAAACACCGACAGCCAGCGUUCUUUCGCUUUCUCGUUCUUCUGGAUUCCCAUUCGUUACUGCGAUCUCUCCACCGCCACCGGUCUCGUUCUGGGCGCGUCCCCGAUGCCGCCGUCAAACCGGAAGGCGUCGGACAGCACACGGGCUGCUGCGAUAAGGGCCUGCUUGCCCCUUCCCCCCUCUACGCCUUCCCCUUCACAACUUUCUCUGCCUCGUUCGUGUGUAUUACGCGCCGGCAACGCGACGAGCGAGGGGCGAGGGAAGGCAUAAAAGAGGUUAGCCUAAUGCCACGCAUCGCGGUCUCGAGUCAGGGGGAAAGAAAAACCACCCGCGGAACCCAGCGUGCGGCCAUUCCACUCGAAGACACCAACGUCUGCGGUGAGAUCCUCCAGAACCCUGUCGACCGGAAGCCAGGUGCGGUCGCGAGGGCGCCACGUGUAGUGUGGACUGGAUAACGCAGUGAACAGCUUCGUCAUUCGGCGACUGACAUUCCGGAAGAGUGGACUUGCUCUUGUAGACAUUUACUUUGCCUCAGGAACGCGAUGGUCUGGAACAAGUACCUCGUCCUUUUUUUCAUCCUCCUGUUCUUGCUGAUGUUGGUGCACUUCGCGGAGCCGCACCAUCAUCACCACCAUUUGUGGCUGAUCAAGCAUAAACUGAAGAAGCUUCUCGUCCUCAAGCAUCUCAAACACCUCAAGAAACUGCACCUAUGGCACCACCACGGCUAGACGUCUUUGUGGAAGCCAAUGCACACAAAAAAUUUCGCCAUGAACUUCACUUCAUCGCCUUUGGUGUCCGCGCUGCCAUGAGGCCAACCGCGCACAAACAACGGGACGCGGAUGGUCAUCGCCUGCCUAAGGAACUUGUAAAUCACGACCUCUCAUAACAUGACUUUCCCUCCUUGAUUAAAUAUUACUCACCCUCAA